rfam:Dipodomys ordii contig_12846, whole genome shotgun sequence.
GGUGGCUCAGUGGUUGAGCGCUUGUCUUGCAUGCAUGAGGCCCUGGGUUCGAUUCCUCAGCACCA